ensembl:lncRNA
CAACCAUACAUUUCGUACACUGUUUAUCUAAUGGGCAUCUUCUAUCAUCUGUUUUUCUACUUCUCGUAAACUUCCUCGACUCUCCUCAAGAAGAAAAGAAAGAAAUUACAGCCUUGUUGCGAAUCGUCAGCUGACUUGAGCACCAUCCUAGCACGCAUCCCCAAUUUGUAGACAAGUGCUUUUCAAAGCUGCUUUUUUGCAGGGCCUUGAAUAAGAUGGCGACUGUUCUCAAGGUUUUCAAGUAAACCGUGGGGAGAAAAACACAUACUGUCAUUCAGCACGAUGAGGUGAAAUGGUAAGUAUUUGGAACCAAAGGCUUUUUUCUGACCUGCUCUUUGAAGUAAACAGUGUUUUAAAAAAAAAAGAAAAAAAAAGUCUGUUUUGGCCUUUUGAAAUUGUCAGUGAUUUUUUUAAGCAGGUUGUACUCUUCAUCCAGCAUUAAAAAUACACUUCCAUACUCACAUGCACACAAACACAAAUACAAAGAAUAGAUUAGAAACAUCAUUAAAUACAAUAAUGAUGACCUUUUCUCACUAUUUCCGAAGUCUUUUACUGUGUUGCACCUCGGAAACAACAGACAGAGCCAUAAACUAUCUGAGAUGUGAUGGCUUAUUCUAACAGAGGCAAAAAUCCUCAUUUCACUCUCAUUUCCCUGUUCACUUUCCCUUGUGAGUGCUGUAAAAUGGGUUCUAUUACAAUACCUAUCACAAGCCCCUUUUUAAAAAGUGGAUACAGAUUCAUGCGCGCAGGUAUUCAGGAGGCAAAGCAUUCACAUUACAAAGACUUGAGAGAAACGUGUGCGUUCAGGCGGAACGACUCAUAUGCAUUGGCAAAUUGCAUGCAAAAAGUUAGCCUUAAAGAUCUGGUCUUCAAACCAAACAUGGGAUGAAAGAACAUCAGGAAAAAAAAACCCCACACACGCUGGCAGAGCGGUGCAGCCAAGCAAAUGCUGUCAGUUCAACGUUUAGUCUGCCAGUUAUCCAUUCUUUUAAGCCCCUCUCAGGUGAUUUGUAGAAAACCAUGUAACAUAAUGCAUGAGGUCAAUGUUUUCUUAACAGCUAUAUUUUGAUAACCGCUCUGUUAAUUAAAGAAGGCAUGUCCUUCAUGUAACUAUAGGAACUCCAACAUAAACGCUUAAGUAGUAAUUAUUAAAUGGGGCACAGGGUUGAAAAAAAUAAAUAAAAAACUGAAUAAAAAUAAAUUCUCUGCAACAGUAUUGAUACCAACUGUACUGUAUUUGCUUCCUUCUGUUGACACAACUUCACACAGCACCGGUGCAGACACGAAGGCACACAGCCCCUCCCCUCACUGAACAACACUUAAGGAAUCAUUUAAAAGGUCAAUAAACCUCCCAUUUCAAAGACAGUCAAGUAUUAAACAGUUAUCAUAAAUGUGAACCUGUCUGCACAAACGUUAAUGUUAGCCACCUAACUAUUAGCAAUUAUGCAAUAGCCACAAAACCCUGCCUUGGGGGGGUCACCAGGUAAUUCUGGUCCCAAGUCUGGAUAACUAGGAGAGUUAUCAGAGUCAGAGACAUUUACUGAUUAGAAAAAUGUUAAGUUAUGAGAUUUCAGAUGAUGUUCAAAGACAUCAAGCACUCCGUUUUAAUCAUACAGACAUCAUCGGUCAGACAGAGUUGAACCAUUUUCACACAUGCAAUGUACCUUUGAAAUUUUCUCCCAGCAAAACUGUCUGUAUCAACACAAGUGAUGUGUCAGAAUGGGCAUUAAAUAGUCUUUAACGAAGCUCCUUAAACCUAAUGGAUGAACCUGCUAGCUCUCAAGUACAAAUGUAAUUGCUAAACUACGC